rnacentral:rRNA from 1 species
CAGUCGCCGCGGGAAUACGAAGGGGGCUAGCGUUACUCGGAAUUACUGGGCGUAAAGGGCGCGUAGGCGGCGCUCCAAGUUAGGCGUGAAAGUCCUGGGCUCAACCUGGGAACUGCGCUUAAGACUGGAGUGCUUGAGGAUGGAAGAGGGUUGUGGAAUUCCCAGUGUAGAGGUGAAAUUCGUAGAUAUUGGGAAGAACACCGGUGGCGAAGGCGGCAACCUGGUCCAUUACUGACGCUGAGGCGCGACAGCGUGGGGAGCAAACAGGAUUAGAUACCCCAGUAGUCCCUGUCUCUUAUAC